GAAGACACUGGCCACCGGCCAAAAUUACUUCUUCCGUUCGCGUUAUUCGGCCAAGUUCAAAGUGACGAAUAGCCUUUCGUUAUCCUACAACCACCGAAGAUUCCCGGAUUUUAGUUUGCAUUUUAGUUGGCAUCCGCGAAUCGUUGCCGCGUUCGCGGAUCGGGCUUCUCCAUUCUUCUUUCGUUCGAACAUCUAUCCGCUCGACACGAUUUCUUUUAAGUAGGGUUGAGUAAGAGUUCGAUUUUGAAAUCGAAUGGCCACGGGCCGUAAUUUUAUGAACAAUAGCUGCGGCGAACUCCUCCCAUUCGUCGAUUCCAUCCGUUGCGUUAUCGUAUUUUUGUGAAUAGAGCGAUUGAGAAAUUUCGAUUCCGUUGAAAUCCUUGAAGAAACUGCAACUCGGAGUCAGGUGACGAUUGUAUAGUAAAACAAUAUUGCGUAUUAUUUAUUCAUGAAUGGAUAAUUUGAAGUAAAGAUGGAGGAGGAUAUAAGUUCAAUCGAGGAACAGAAUAAAUCGUGUCGAGCUAAUAAAAUAUCUCAUAAGUCAAAUAUUCGAAAAUUUUUUAGAGAUGUUUGGCGUAGAAUUAAAGUUGAAAUCAAUGGGGAAGAACAUAAACGUUCAAACGAGUAUGGGGAUUAUUAUUUCUGUA